CCUGUGCCCUGUGAUCCAGGGACAUAUGUUGCUGUUACACACGCUAGCCAGUGUGAGCCCUGUGUGCCAGGCUGGCACUGUGUGUCUGGCUCCCUGUACUUGUGUCCUGCAGGCUUUUACUGCCCUGAAGGAACAGGAUUUGACUUGAGAGGCUGUCCAGAGGGAACUUACGGCCCUGACCCCGGCUACUGGUCUGUCUCUCAGUGCAGGCAGUGUGACGGCGGCCAUUACUGUUCUUCCCGAAAUGGCACAGCUGUCACUGGACCAUGUCAGGAAGGAUAUUACUGCUCACAUGGAAACACCUCUCCACAACCUUUCUCACAGGCUGCAGGAGAGGGAGGGCCAUGUCCUGCCGGUCAUUACUGCCCCCAGGCCACUGUCCAUCCUCUGCCCUGUCCACGUGGAACAUUCUCUAACCUCACCAAAUUAGUCUCCCAGGUCUCUUUGACUCAAUAUCGCACUCACAUGUCUCCUUGACAAUUACUGAGAGAGAAGACAUUCUCUCAAAAUAACACAAGGAUGACAUUUGGAUGUGAAUAUAGAAAAAAUACAAUAGAUAUUCAUUCAGAUCGUAGCAACAACCAGCAGCAUAAAUAGCUCUUCAUUGUUUAUCUUGAUUGACAGACCAAGACUUGAUGAAAAGUGUCGUUAUGAAAUAAAAUGGUCAUUAGGAAAAAUGGAAAAAACAUUUCACAAUAAAU